AUUGAACGCUGGCGGCAGGCCUAACACAUGCAAGACGAGCGGGGUUUUCGGACCUAGCGGCGGACGGGUGAGUAAUGCGUAGGAAGCUACCCGAUAGAGGGGGAUACCAGUUGGAAACGACUGUUAAUACCGCAUAAUGUCUACGGACCAAAGUGUGGGACCUUCGGGCCACAUGCUAUCGGAUGCGCCUACGUGGGAUUAGCUAGUUGGUGAGGUAAUGGCUCACCAAGGCGACGAUCCCUAGCUGGUUUGGGAGGAUGAUCAGCCACACUGGAACUGAGAGACGGUCCAGACGCCUACGGGAGGCAGCAGGGGGGAAUAUUGGAGAAUGGGCGCAAGCCUGAUCCAGCCAUGCCGCGUGUGUGAAGAAGGCCUUCGGGUUGUAAAGCACUUUCAGUAGGGAGGAAGCGUUGUGUGUUAAUAGUACACAGCGUUGACGUUACCUACAGAAGAAGCACCGGCUAACUCUGUGCCAGCCGCCGCGGUAACAC
rnacentral:rRNA from 1 species